rnacentral:rRNA from 1 species
AUGGGGAAACCAUCCCAAUCUGUCCUUCUGCUCCUCGCGGCGGCCCUCCUCUUCCCGCUCGCCCGCUCCGACGCCGCCAGCCCUAUCGACGCCACGUACGACGAGCUCCGCAGCCGUGGCUUCCCGCACGGCCUGCUCCGGGCCCACGUCACGCUCGACGCUGGUUCGGGGGACUUCGCCGUAGAUCUCGUCUCCUCCGGCUGCCGCAUCGUUCUGCCUGCAUACUUCUGCCUGACACGGAGGCCCGUGGCCGUGGGGUUCGACCGGUCGCUGCACCACGACGAGUUCAUGGGCUCGCUGCUCCACGCACUCUCCGGGCACGUCGAGGAGCUGCUCGGCCGCGUCGUCGUCGACCCGGCCGCGACGUGCCUUGUCGCUGACCCCUUCUUCGUGUGGCCGGUGACGCUGGCCACGAAGUUGGGCAUCGCGUACGUGACGGAGCCCGCGCUCAUCUUCAACCUCUACUACCACGUCCACCUGCUCAGCAAGAACGGACACUUCGGAUGCAACGAACCUACAACUACAGUGAACAGCGGUGCGGGGACAUCUACUGCGGGGAGCUCUGAGCGCACGGAAGACGUGUUCCACCAGCCAGCAGACUGUCAUGCCGCAAACAAUUUCGAGUCAGAGUCGGGAAUGGCAAUCAUUCCAGCAAUGCCGACGAGCACCCCUUUGAACACAAGCACUAGCAACACUCGAGUAGAUGGAACUGCCGCCGAUACUGAAGCGAAUGAUGAAACUGACGACGACGCACAAGAGGAUGAAGAUGGUGGGCAAUCCGAGAUCGUGGUACCUCAGCCACCAUACAUUGGGCAGAGAUUUGGAUCGUUCGCAGAAGCAAAGGAAUACUACCAGGCAUACGCAAAGUUCCAUGGAUUUGCGGUCAACACCGAGUACCAUAGGAAAAUUAAGAAAACUAAUGAGUACAACAGAGGUGAAAUGAGGUGCCACAAGGCACGGAGGAACAAGAAGGGGAAAGGUGUUGCGCCUGUCGUUCUGGAACGAAAGAGAGGCAUCAUUCUCAAGACGGGGUGCCCUGUCCGGUGUAAGCUAAACGUAGAUGGAGCAACAUGGGUGGUCAAUGAGUAUUUUGACGAGCACAACCACAAACUCAUAAAGAAGUUCGACCUGGUGAAAUUUCUGACCGCCCACAGAGGGUUCACCCCCGUCGAAAGGAAAUUCGUAAAGCUGCUACAUGAUUGUAACGUCGGUCCAUCAAGAAUGGUACAGAUACUAUCUCUCAUCCACAGCAAAAAGGGGACUCUGAGUAGCAUGCCGUACAUACCAGCUGACGUCACAAACCUACAGGCCAAGUACCAUAGAGAGAGCAAGUUGGCAGACAUAGAGGCCACAAUAGCCUACUUCGAUGUGAAAGCAAAGGAAGAUCCAGAUUUCUUCUACAGGAUAAGGUUGGACGAUGAGGACCGUGUCAGGAACAUGUAUUGGGUGGAUGGUGCUGCAAGGAGAGCCUACAAACAUUUCUGA